GGAUCCUUCAGCGCGGUAUGUAGGGAUGCCACAGGCGUUUACCUGGGGUCCUCCGCAAUCAGAGUCAGGGAUAUUACUGAUCCCCCAACUUUGGAAGCAUUGGCGUGUCGAGAGGCACUUGCUCUGGCACUAGACCUUGGUUUAUCACAUGUAAUCAUCGCCUCAGAUUGCCAAGGGGUAAUCAAGGAUAUCCACAAGCAGGAGGGAGGUAUGUAUGCAAGCAUAAUAAGGGAGAUUGGACACACUGCAAGAACAAUCAAUGACUGCACCUUCAUCUUCGAGGGUAGAGCUACAAAUAUUGAGGCACAUAGCCUCGCUAAGCACGCUUUUGGUCUGGAGUUCGGGCGCCAUGUGUGGCUUAUAAACCCACCAGAUCUUCGAUGUAUCCCCAUGAACAUCUCUGAAUUCUAA
rnacentral:rRNA from 1 species